rnacentral:rRNA from 1 species
GAUGAACGCUGGCGGCGUGCUUAACACAUGCAAGUCGAACGAUGAAGGGAGCUUGCUCCUGGAUUAGUGGCGAACGGGUGAGUAACACGUGAGUAACCUGCCCUUGACUCUGGGAUAAGCCUGGGAAACUGGGUCUAAUACCGGAUAUGACCUUCCAUCGCAUGGUGGUUGGUGGAAAGCUUUUGUGGUUUUGGAUGGACUCGCGGCCUAUCAGCUUGUUGGUGGGGUAAUGGCUUACCAAGGCGACGACGGGUAGCCGGCCUGAGAGGGUGACCGGCCACACUGGGACUGAGACACGGUCCAGACUCCUACGGGAGGCAGCAGUGGGGAAUAUUGCACAAUGGGCGCAAGCCUGAUGCAGCGACGCCGCGUGAGGGAUGACGGCCUUCGGGUUGUGAACCUCUUUCAGUAGGGAAGAAGCCGCAAGGUGACGGUACCUGCAGAAGAAGCGCCGGCUAACUACGUGCCAGCCGCCGCCGUAACAC